AACGAACGCUGGCGGCAGGCUUAACACAUGCAAGUCGAGCGGGAAGCAUCCUUCGGGAUGUGGAGAGCGGCAGACGGGUGAGUAACACGUGGGAACGUACCCUUUGGUUCGGAACAACUCCGGGAAACUGGAGCUAAUACCGGAUAAGCCCUUUGGGGGAAAGAUUUAUCGCCGAAGGAUCGGCCCGCGUCUGAUUAGCUUGUUGGUGGGGUAACGGCUCACCAAGGCGACGAUCAGUAGCUGGUCUGAGAGGAUGAUCAGCCACAUUGGGACUGAGACACGGCCCAAACUCCUACGGGAGGCAGCAGUGGGGAAUAUUGGACAAUGGGCGCAAGCCUGAUCCAGCCAUGCCGCGUGAGUGAUGAAGGCCUUAGGGUUGUAAAGCUCUUUCGCGCGCGACGAUAAUGACGGUAGCGCGAGAAGAAGCCCCGGCUAACUUCGUGCCAGCAGCCGCGGUAAUACGAAGGGGGCUAGCGUUGUUCGGAAUCACUGGGCGUAAAGCGCAUGCAGGCGGGUCGUUAAGUUAGGGGUGAAAUCCCGAGGCUCAACCUCGGAACUGCCUCUAAUACUG
rnacentral:rRNA from 1 species